ACUUAAGCAUAUCAAUAAGCGGAGGAAAAGAAACCAACAGGGAUUGCCUCAGUAACGGCGAGUGAAGCGGCAACAGCUCAAAUUUGAAAUCUGACCCCUUCGGGGCCCGAGUUGUAAUUUGUAGAGGAUGCUUCGGGUGCGGUGCCGGUCUAAGUUCCUUGGAACAGGACGUCAUAGAGGGUGAGAAUCCCGUAUGCGACCGGCGGCCAACCCCGUGUGAAGCCCCUUCGACGAGUCGAGUUGUUUGGGAAUGCAGCUCAAAAUGGGUGGUAAAUUUCAUCUAAAGCUAAAUACCGGCCAGAGACCGAUAGCGCACAAGUAGAGUGAUCGAAAGAUGAAAAGCACUUUGGAAAGAGAGUCAAACAGUACGUGAAAUUGUUGAAAGGGAAGCGCUUGCAACCAGACCUGCCCGCGAGCGAUCAGCCGUUAUUCUUAGCGGUGCACUCGUCCGCGAUCAGGCCAGCAUCGGUUCGGGCGGCCGGAUAAAGGCCUCGGGAAUGUAGCUCCCCCCGGGGAGUCUUAUAGCCCGGGGUGCAAUGCGGCCAGCCCGGACCGAGGACCGCGCUUCGGCUAGGAUGCUGGCGUAAUGGUUGUAAGCGACCCGUCUUGAAACACGGACC
rnacentral:rRNA from 1 species